rnacentral:rRNA from 1 species
GACGAACGCUGGCGGCGUGCUUAACACAUGCAAGUCGAACGGAACGGCCCUGCUUUUGUGGGGUGCUCGAGUGGCGAACGGGUGAGUAACACUUGAGUAACCUGCCCUUGACUUUGGGAUAACUUCAGGCAACUGGGGCUCAUACCGGAUAGGAGCUCCUGCUGCAUGGUGGGGGUUGGAAAGUUUCGGCGGUUGGGGAUGGACUCGCGGCGUAUCAGCUUGUUUGUGGGGUAGUGGCUUACCAAGGCUUUGACGGGUAGCCGGCCUGAGAGGGUGACCGGCCACAUUGGGACUGAGAUACGGCCCAGACUCCUACGGGAGGCAGCAGUGGGGAAUAUUGCACAAUGGGCGGAAGCCUGAUGCAGCAACGCCGCGUGCGGGAGGACGGCCUUCGGGUUGUAAACCGCUUUCGCCUGUGACGAAGCGUGAGUGACGGUAAUGGGUAAAGAAGCACCGGCUAACUACGUG